AGCUUUGUGCAGUGGCAAUAUUGUAGCCAAUGAGUUUUAUCUGAGGCAUGAUUAUUGCUAAUUGAAAAAAGCAUAUAUAUAUAUAUAUACAUAUAUACAUAUAUACACACACACAC
rnacentral:snRNA from 1 species